UGAAAACAUUAUUUUUUUCUUCAUCAUUAAUCUAUAGUUUACUGACUUAAAUGUUGAAAUGUGUAAAAUGGAGCUUGCACAUUAUAAUUUCAAUUAUCUUUAUGUCAGCAGUUACUGUAAAUUCCUAGAGCAAUGAAGGGAUCCAAGCAAUUGGGUCAUUCACAUCAUCAAGAAGACAAAUGUACAUAAUUGUGGUCUUAGAUCACUGAUGUCAAUCUGUUGUAGAAUUAUGGAAUACAUUCUAUGCUAAUACAUUAUGACCUUUUUGGAGAAUAAAUAUCUUCUAUACAUGAAUCCGCAUGGAUAUUGGCAAGAGAGAUCUUGUUACAUUCAGCUUCCUGUUGAUCAAUGAGAUGCAGAGGAUCAUAGGAACAAAAUCCAAGAUUCUCAAACAAAGUUUACAAGUCUUGUACAAUAUUUUAGCUGUACAGAAAUAACAAACAGAGUCAUGUUGGUAGGUCUGAGAAAAACAGAGGAAUACUGAACACAUGAUGAAUCUGAAGGGUCAUACUGUGUGUUUAUCGUAUCUGGCACAUUAUCAUCAGAAUCAAGAUUGAUCACUCUUUCAGUUCUAUUGUGCUUAUCAACUAUAGUAGUAAUAGAAAUAUUUAUGAUCCAGUUCAAUCUCGGAUGUUUCUGAGUGUGUGUUGUGCUCUACUGUUGACACAUCGUAUUCCGGAACAUAUGAAUCACCAGAGAACUUCAGAGCCAGAGUCUUCAGAAAACAUAUCCUCUGUCAAAUACAUAAUUGGUCUGCUUUUGGUAGACACAUCUGCCAAGUAUUUUUCCAGCUAUUGCACUUUGUGAUGCAAACUUGUAUUAAUUGGGGUUAAGUGUAAGUUUUGUUUUAAUCCUGCAGUAUAAUCAUGCAUGUCAGCACUUUUUUCUCAUACCACUGUCAUUGCCAGUUCUGGAUUUGCAGGUCUAUAAACUGCUGGGGAAUUUCUGAUGAGACCAUAUUUAUGAUGUGUAUCAAAAUAUGCAUUGUAAGCACUUAUUAGUUAGCACUCACUUACUCAUCCUUUUAUGAUCCUUGAAAGAAAAUAAUCUGUAACCAGUUUGGAAUUGAUUUACUCAAUACUUUUUUUUCAAUUUUACAUCCAAAUACCAAGAAACUUUGAUUCCCACUUAUUUGCAAUGUGUUUAUUGUUGGUUGUGAUAUCAGUGUAAUGCUAAAAGUUAUUUUGACAGCUGUGGAAAUUUGUUGCUACUAGUUUCCUAUUGUUUACUAUGAGCUAAUUUAUUGUUGAUUAUUUACUGAAUUGAUUUGUGACACAGUUUAUUACAUAAUCAGAAUUUUCAUUUCUUCUGAUUUUAUUAAUUAUGUUGUCUCAUCAGCAAACAUAACUAUUUUAUGUGUUAUUUUAUGUGAAUCAGUAUGCAUGUUUAGAUCUUUGAUGUAAAUCCAGAGAAAAGAGGCCUUAUUUCUGACCCUUGAGGUACACUAUAAGUGACUGAGUGUUCUUCUGAUAAAUAUUCUUAGACUGUUUUUGAUUUUACUUUUACAUGUUUUAUGCUUACUUGUCUGGCAGAGUUCUGUGCUUUACUAUGUCAAAAGCUUUAGUCAAGUUUAAAAAUAUACCUGUUGUUUUCCCUCAGUGCCAUUCAAAACAUGGUUAUCCACUCAUAGAUAGCCAUAUCAGUUGAUUUCAUGCUUUGGAAAAUGUGUUGUGGAUUAGUUAACAUUAUAUUUUGUUCAUGAACUUAUUGUACAGUAUUUUUCCAAUACUUAAAAAAACAGGAGGUUACUAUAAGUUUUUAAUGGGAUGAUAGUUCAUCACUCUAUCUUUAUCACCAACUUUGGAAAUAGGAAUCACUUUUGAUAUAUCUUUCACUUCUGAAAAGAUACCCAAUUGUAAUAAGCAGUUACAUAGGCAAGAGAAUGUCUUACUCAUAUUUUAGAUGGACAGCUGUAAGAUCCUGUGAGGAAUGCCAUAAAUUGCUGAUGGGUACAUGGUUUUUAGAUCUUUGACAGCCUUAACUGUUUUUUUUUCCAACUAACAUUGGUGACAAUCAUUGAUCAUGUACAGGUAUUGAUCAUAUUUUCCAUUGGCUGCUUUUUCCAUAUUGUGAGUCCUUGUUUAUUUAAUGGCUUUUGCAAAAAGUUUUGUACAUGUUUUAUAGUAAGUACACAUAUCUGGUGUGACAUUAUUCUCCUUGCAGAUUUGGUGCAGUGCUGUCCUUUCCUGGCAAGAAGCUGUAAUUCCCUUUGUUAUUCCCUCUCAUACUCUUUCUGAUACUUAUAAUUUUCAGAUGGACUGUGGUAUCAAAAUGCUCCAACAACUUUUGUAAAUAUAUUUCAAAUUCUGUAUUCACACUCUCAGUUUCAUAGACAGCAGACCACUCUUCACUGUGCAAUGAAAACGUGUAGUGAUUUAUGUUUUCCUGCCUGUGUUGGAUCUUUAGUAUGCUGUUUUUUGCCUUACAGACAACUUAAAUUUAUCUUUAUUAGUCAGUAUUUGCAAGAUUUUUUGUGACAGUAAGCUUACAUGAUUUGAUGAGUUUGAUCAGAGUGGCUCUCUUUUUACAUAUAGUGAGAAAGUCAAUGUUAAAACUAAAAUGGCAGAGUGUCCGACAUUCCUAAAAUGGCAGAAAGGGGUCAUUUUGCCCCCACAUAAAAUAUUUUCAUAUUUGACUCAAACAAGCAGUUUAUUUUAGUGUAUGUUAAUCUCUGCCUUUUUGUGA